UAAUACGUAGGGGGCGAGCGUUGUCCGGAUUUAUUGGGCGUAAAGAGCUCGUAGGCGGCUUGGCAAGUCGGGUGUGAAACCUCCAGGCUUAACCUGGAGACGCCACUCGAUACUGCCAUGGCUAGAGUCCGGUAGGGGACCACGGAAUUCCUGGUGUAGCGGUGAAAUGCGCAGAUAUCAGGAGGAACACCGGUGGCGAAGGCGGUGGUCUGGGCCGGCACUGACGCUGAGGAGCGAAAGCGUGGGUAGCAAACAGGAUUAGAUACCCUGGUAGUCCACGCCGUAAACGUUGGGCACUAGGUGUGGGGCCUUAUCAACGGGUUCCGUGCCGUAGCUAACGCAUUAAGUGCCCCGCCUGGGGAGUACGGCCGCAAGGCUAAAACUCAAAGGAAUUGACGG
rnacentral:rRNA from 1 species